rnacentral:tRNA from 1 species
GGGCCCGUAGCUCAGCCAGGUAGAGCGGCGGACACCCCCUCUUAAACUCUAUAAUGGGGGGUGGUCGAAGCUCCAGAUCACUGCUAUGGGUCAUAUGACCUCCCAAUGGGGAGGAAUGAAUUAGAUCUGGAGGGAGUGACCCGUAGGUCGGGGGUUCAAAUCCCCCCGGGCCCA